rnacentral:RNase_P_RNA from 1 species
GCUGUAAUCCAUGCUAUCGCGGUGUACUGUUAAACCAGUACAAUGAGGAAAGUCCGGACAGCAAAGGGCAACACACCGGUUAACAGCCGGUCACGUUUAUGGCGUGAAGAAAGUGCCACAGAAAAUAACCGUCCCGCUUUUUGUGGGAUAAGGGUGAAAAUGUGAGGUAAGAGCUCACAAAAACGGGUGGUAACAUCCGUUUUGGGUAAACCUUGUGUGCUGAAAUGCUAAGUAAAUCCCGAUUAUUUGCCUGCCCGGCAAAAUAUUCGUUCGGAAUAUAUCGGGAAGGGUAAGCAGAUAAACCCGUUCAGUAAUGACCGGGUUAGAUAAAUGAUAGCACUCGACAGAAUCCGGCUUACCGGAUUACAGUAACU